AGUGGCGAACGGGUGAGUAAAGUAUCGGAACGUGCCCAGUCGUGGGGGAUAACGUAGCGAAAGUUACGCUAAUACCGCAUACGAUCUAUGGAUGAAAGCGGGGGAUCGCAAGACCUCGCGCGAUUGGAGCGGCCGAUAUCAGAUUAGGUAGUUGGUGGGGUAAAGGCUCACCAAGCCGACGAUCUGUAGCUGGUCUGAGAGGACGACCAGCCACACUGGGACUGAGACACGGCCCAGACUCCUACGGGAGGCAGCAGUGGGGAAUUUUGGACAAUGGGCGCAAGCCUGAUCCAGCCAUGCCGCGUGCAGGAUGAAGGCCUUCGGGUUGUAAACUGCUUUUGUACGGAACGAAAAGGUUUGGCCUAAUAAGCUGAGCUCAUGACGGUACCGUAAGAAUAAGCACCGGCUAACUACGUGCCAGCAGCCGCGGUAAUACGUAGGGUGCGAGCGUUAAUCGGAAUUACUGGGCGUAAAGCGUGCGCAGGCGGUUAUGUAAGACAGAUGUGAAAUCCCCGGGCUCAACCUGGGAACUGCAUUAGUGACUGCAUAGCUGGAGUACGGCAGAGGGGGAUGGAAUUCCGCGUGUAGCAGUGAAAUGCGUAGAUAUGCGGAGGAACACCGAUGGCGAAAGGCAAUCCCCUGGGCCUGUACUGACGCUCAUGCACGAAAGCGUGGGG
rnacentral:rRNA from 1 species